GGCGGGCGGGAGCGAGGGGAGGAGGCGGCGGCCGCCGCGCGUUCCCGCCCGCGCGGCCCGGCAGUGCCCUGGCCCGCGCUCGGUGACCGGCACCCGGCCCUCGCGCGCCCCGGGGAAGAGCUCCCCCCUCACCCGUAACUUCCCGCAGACUAAGGGGGCGCUCGGGACACGCGUUCCCCCAGCGGCCGGAAGGCCCAGGGCAUCUCAGCCUUACUCGUCCCCGCGUGAGAGCUCGGCUCGUCUGAGUAUUGGGCGAAGAAACUACAAGGAAAGACGGGUCGGCCGCUCUGAGAACCAGGCCUGACAGUGUCCCAGGUUUGGCUUCGGGAGGAACCUCGGGGACAGCUUUCUUGGGGGAGGACGGCGCUGUGGGUCCCCAACUGUCCAUUUCCCAGCAGCGCGACUGUGGGCAAGCUGCCACCCCUUUAUCUGUGAGUGCAGUGACAACAGUCAUCUCCCCGGUGGCGCUGUUCAGAGGAUGACAGGAGCGCUGGCCAGGCACCAGCUUUUGCUGAGAGUUUGUAUGAGCUCUGGCCUGCCUCACAGUAGGAGAUCACUAGUUGUGCAGGCUUAAACGCCACUCCACCCCCACCACCGGACCCUGGGACCAGUCAGGGAGACAGUCAGUGGGGUCUUCCUGGCUCUGCUGCCUCCAGCAGCCUAGAGUCCAGUAGAGACACACUUGGUGCACCUGGAGAGCUCCAGGAGUGUCACACAUUGUACAGGAGACUGGCCAGGGUCUCUUCUGCCAUUCCUCCUAAGGGCUGUUGGUCCCAACUGGCCACGCGUGGGAAGCAAGGCUUCACCCUGAUUAACACUGGCAGCAAAGCAGAAACUAGGCCAGGAAGGCCUUUAAGUGGGAAGAGGACCAGUGACCUGACCGUCUGCCUCUGGAUGGCUGUAGAGAGCUCAGGGUGUGCGUCUGUGGCUUGGCAGGCAUGAGUCACCGAGUGGAGGUGGGAGCAUGGGAGGCCCGACAGGGACCAGCCGAACUCCUGCUCACACGAUCUCCUGCCAGAGGCCCCUUUUGGAACUGGAAUUGAUUCCCCACACCUUCUCCUCUUCUCUGCACUAAAUGCAGUCUGUCCUCCCCUUCCUCCCCUGCCAAGGGGGCUCAGCUCCCUGGGCCUGCCCCACCAGGCAGAAUGCAGACCCCUCCUUCCCCACCUGCAGACAGCCUCACCCUGCCCACCCUUGAGGCAGGAGGCCCAAAGGCAGGCAGGAUUGCCCUGUGGGAGAUCAUACCGCUCAAUGGGGCAGAGGCAAACCCAGAACCUGCAGCCCACCUCCUCCCAGUGGCACCCUGGCUGUCCACAGAGGAGGGUCACUGUCACUUACCAGCAAUAUACCUGUCCCCAUCUGGCCCCUGUUGGCCAGACUGUCCCUGGGCCAGGACCCUGUGUUGUUCUCCUUCAAGUCUGUGACCCUCCAGGUGGACCUAAAAGCUGUCAAACAGAGUGAAGUAAGUCAGAAAGAGAAAAACAAAUAUCAUAUGUUAAUACAUAUAUGUGGAAUCUAGAAAAUAAUUUCCAGAGCAGAAAUAGAGACAUAGGUAGAGAACCAACGUAUGGAUACCAAGGGGGGAUAGGAGGCAGUGGGAUGAAUUGGAAGAUGAGAAUUGACAUAUACAAUCCUCCAUGUAUAAAAUAGAUAACUAAUGAGAAGCUACUGUUUAGCACAGGGGGAAAAAAGGCACCAUCUGUUUGCAGGACAUUAUUAAGUUAACCUUAAAAAUGCAUUCCAAUAUACAUUAGGUGCAGACAAAUACUGUUUGAUUCCAUUUAUAUGAAGUAUUGAGAAUAGUCAAUUUCAUAGAGGCAGAAAGUACACUGGUAGAUGCCAGGG
ensembl:lncRNA